rnacentral:rRNA from 1 species
UUCGGCUUAGAGUUUGAUCCUGGCUCAGGACGAACGCUGGCGGCGUGCUUAACACAUGCAAGUCGAACGAGGUAGCAAUACCUAGUGGCGGACGGGUGAGUAACGCGUAGGUAACCUGCCUCAUAGUGGGGGAUACCCAGCCGAAAGGUUGGCUAAUACCGCAUAAGCUGGUGAUUUGGAAUAGUCAUCAGGAAAGAUUUAUUGCUAUGAGAGGGGCCUGCGUCCGAUUAGCUAGUUGGUGAGGUAAAGGCUCACCAAGGCGACGAUCGGUAGCUGGUCUGAGAGGACGAUCAGCCACACUGGAACUGAGACACGGUCCAGACUCCUACGGGAGGCAGCAGUGGGGAAUUUUCCGCAAUGGGCGAAAGCCUGACGGAGCAACGCCGCGUGGAUGAUGAGUCUUUCGGGACGUAAAAUCCUUUCAGCAGGGACUAAGCGAGUG